rnacentral:rRNA from 1 species
UACGUAGGGUGCAAGCGUUAAUCGGAAUUACUGGGCGUAAAGCGUGCGCAGGCGGUGAUGUAAGACAGGUGUGAAAUCCCUCGGCUUAACCGGGGAACUGCGUCUGAUACUGGAUGGCUUGAGGUUGGGAGAGGGAUGCGGAAUUCCAGGUGUAGCGGUGAAAUGCGUAGAUAUCUGGAGGAACACCGGUGGCGAAGGCGGGUCUCUGGGCCGUAACUGGACGCUGAGGAGCGAAGACGUGGGGAGCAAACAGG